UAUGUGCUCAUUCAGCACUUCGAAUGAGGUGACGAAAGUCGAGUCGAAUGCGUCACCCGAUUCCCGUAGUCGAAUGCGGUGAGAAGAGUCGAUGUGAGUGAACACCGAUGAACUCUCACCGCAUUCUCGUAGUCGAUUUUGAUCGACAAACGUCGCUUUCAAGUGACGUUUGCGGGUGAGAAGAGUCGCAACCUCAACAGGUGUCGAGAGCGCACUCGAAUCAAGUUAAGCCUAGAGUUAAACGCAAAUUAAUGGAAUGGUCGAUGGAACGGUACAUCGUCCAACCGACUGUCGGCGGGCGCAUCCAGUAGGUUCCAGUUAAACUCCAUGCAGCCCCUGCUCAUCCCAACACCGCGAAAAAAAAAUUCGUUAACGUUGAUUAUUCUACGCCCAGUUCACAGCGGAAAUUCGAAAGAAACUUCAGGAUUCGCCGUAGGUUCUAGAGCGAUCGCUCAACGAACGACGCCGGAAUAUUUAGUAGAAGUGAACUCAGCGCCUUGGUGCGAACUUUAUACUCCACCGCUUCCCAAACCAUUUCAAUGCAUUGGCCGGCCAGGAGGUGACCGAGAGGAGCAGGCCCGUUCUGCACCGAACAGCUUCCGGCAGGAACUGGAACAGAAACUUGGAUUUCGGUAACAUGUUCAGCGACAGGAUCAUACGGACGGAACCACCCCAAACGGAGAUCUUGAUGAUCGUGCCAAGGAGCAAAUGGAAGGCGUUUGCCUGAUGAAUUAUUCGGGAUUGAAGGAGGAUGUGUGUCCGCAAGGCAUGGACGGAAGGAGAGUUGCAAAAAUUGAGCCUGCUUGUGUAAUCGUGGACUUGAAUGUACUACGAGUGUCGUUAUAGAAGCAUCCGCUUGUGAAAACAUGAGAUUCAACUGAGCUGAAAAGUAUUUAGACAAAUAAAUAGAAACUGGAAACAAAAAA